rfam:Megasphaera micronuciformis F0359 genomic scaffold Scfld98, whole genome shotgun sequence.
CGUUCAUCCAGAGCAGCAGAGGGACUGGCCCUAUGAUGCUGCGGCAACCCCCGCAAGGGAAGGUGCCAAGUCCAGCGGAUUCCCGACAGAUGAGUG